rnacentral:rRNA from 1 species
AGUCGCCGCGGGAAUACGAAGGGUGCAAGCGUUACUCGGAAUUACUGGGCGUAAAGCGUGCGUAGGUGGUGGUUUAAGUCCGUUGUGAAAGCCCUGGGCUCAACCUGGGAAUUGCAGUGGAUACUGGGUCACUAGAGUGUGGUAGAGGAUAGUGGAAUUUCCGGUGUAGCAGUGAAAUGCGUAGAGAUCGGAAGGAACAUCUGUGGCGAAGGCGACUAUCUGGGCCAACACUGACACUGAGGCACGAAAGCGUGGGGAGCAAACAGGAUUAGAUACCCCCGUAGUCCCUGUCUCUUAUACC